UUUUGGGUUGUAUUGUCGCAUAGAUAACCGACUCUUGGUUGGUAUUAUUUGUUUAUCAACAGCGGUGUAUUCUUCUUUGGGAAUUGUCAAAAGCCUCUGCCUUGUAACGUAUAUUUUUAUUCUUCGUUCAUUCUCCUAACAAUUAUUUCGUUUCGUCGAAUAUAUUUUUCUUCAUUAUUCAUCAUUUCAUCAUCAUUAUUUCGCGGUUAACCUACAGAUUAGGCUCUCCUAUAUAAGCGCUGGUGCUGUGCGGCUCCUUCCUUUUCUUUGGUCUUCAGCCUCGGUCAGGCGCGGGGUGCGAUUUUGUUGGGGUCCUUGGUGUGGCGGACACGUACUGUUGUUGCCGGUGAUACCACGUGGCACGAUUUUAUGGGAUGGCUGCCAGGACCCCAACAUUCUACGAUAAAGAACUGCCCAACAUUCUAC
rnacentral:misc_RNA from 1 species